AUUUGUUUAUAAGUCCAUUGUUUAGAUUUCAGAAACCAUUGCUCACAUAUGCAUCUUUAACUUACAUGUCACCAGAAAUAGAACAAUUUUCCAGCUAAAAAAUAGUAGAAAGUAACACUUACUGCACAGAAAUGUUUUAUUUCUAUGGCGUGACCUGGAAUAAACAUCUUUGUAUGCAUUACUUUGUCCGUAUUUAAAAUUAUUUCUAUCUUAAGUGAAAUUCAAGAAUCACGACCAUCCUGAGAAUCUUACUUCAUGCUGCCACACUUCUUUCUGACCAGCACUGCCCACACCUUAAUGUGUGUUGGAAUUGCCUGGGUAUCUUGUUAAAAUGCAAAUUCUGGUCCAGUACAUCUGGGGAGGGGCUCCCGGGUGACACCAGGGCUGCCCGCUUAUGGGUGAUCCGUGGACCCCUGGUAUGGGUUGAACUGUGUCCUCCCCAAAUUCACGUGCUGGCAUGCAUAGUAAAUGGAACCUUAUUUGGAAAUAGGGUUGGUACAGAUGUAAUUAGUUAAGAUGAGGUCAUUGACUGGGCCCUAAUCCAAUCUAAAUUAUAUCCUUAUAAAAAGGUGGAAUCUGACACAGACAAGCACACACAGAGGAAGCCACUGAAGGUGGGGGUUAUACACCAGCAGAAGCCGGGAGACAGCCCGGAGCAGGUCCCUCCCGAGAGCCUGCGGAGGGAGCGGGGCCCUGAGGACACCUUGAUCGUGGACUUCCAGCCUCCAGAGCUGUGAGGAAGGCAACCGAGUCUGCUGUCAGGCCCUCUGUCCCACACUCUUCCUGGCAGCCCGAGCAGACUCACGCACUGCCCUUCCCGUGGCCAGAAGUGGAGGGGUCUCACUCCAGUGCCGCAGUCAGGGCUAGGAAAAUGGUCCCAAACAGACCCUGCAAUCAGACAGGCCUACCUGCCGCUACCUGCCCUGAGCAACUUCAUAAACUCCUCAGGCAGCCCGAGGUUUGAUUCCCUCAUUUGUAAGACGGCCACGAUAAUCUUCGGACCCAUCUCAUAGGGGGUUUGCAAGGAUUAAAUAAAAGCAUGCAUGUGACCUUCCUAACUCUGCCCGCUUUUGAGAGAGUAGUUUUCAGGGCAAAACAGUAGAGAAAAACUCAGCUUGCGGGGAAGCAGGGAGAAAGUGGGUGUCGAUUACGCUUUCAAAGCUUUUUUUUGGGAAAAGGAAAGUCAGAGAGAAAUGAGACCUUGAUGGAUUCACAAGGUCAAGAAAAAAGUACUUUUUUAGGCUAAGUGGGACUGAAGAUUGUUUGUAGCUAUUUCGUCCCCAUUUUCAGAAUAGGUGGAGCCCAGGACACGGUCCCCAAACUCUGUUCCAGGUGCCGGGUGGAGGUACAGGGCGAGGCGUGGCUGCCUGGGGGCUCCCCAGCCCAGAGCUGGGAUGGCAGAGGGAGAAAUGGAGUAGGGUGUGGACACGGUCAGCUUGAAGGAGUCAGGAAGAGGAGGGACAGCCAGGCAGCUGGAUCGGUUGCCGUGGAGACCAGGGAACUCACGUCCAGGUGAGAGAGGCCUGCUCCAGGAGUGGGAAGUGGGGCCCAAGGGAAAGGGCCCAGGAACUGCACAGCCUGAAAGGGGAGUGCGCGCUCCAGCCUCACACGGAUCGCGCUGAGCUUUCUCCCGUUGGCAAAGGUUUGCCACGUAACCUUGGCCGGCCUCUGCCCCGGCUCUGGGUUCAGAUGUGGGGUGGGCAUCGGCAGACGGGGCACAGCAGAGGCUCGGAGAUUUCCUGCACGGUUUGGACCUGCCGGCCUUCCCUCUGCCGUCCCGCUCAGGGCGCGUCCAGGAGGGGCAGCUGGAGGAGGGGGCACCUGCCCAGGUGCAGCCCCAGAGCUAGCUGGCUGCCAGCCUGGGGGUGAGCCCAGUCAGGCCCAGAAGAACCAGCCAGGCAAGCCCAGCUGAGGCCCAACCUAUAGGCACAUGGGCUAAAUGAAUGCUACUGCUUUAGUCCCUGGACUUGGGUGGUUCGUUAGGUGGCAUUUUUGUGGGAACAGGAGAUGGGCAGUGCCCACGGCUGCCCUGAGGCCUGCAGCCCCUCCUUGCUCGUGGGGCUAGGUUUUUAAAUUUUUUUUUAACAUUUGACUUUUUUUUCAUCAUUUUAUUCAUUUUGGGGGCCGCACCACGUGGCAUGAGGGAUCUUAGUUCCCGGACCAGGGAUUGAACCUGCAUCCCCUGCAGUGGAAGUGCGGAGUCUUAACUGCUGGACCGCCAGGGAAGUCCCUCAUGGGGCUGGUUUUGGAGACAGUAGGGCACAGCUCGUCCGAGCAGAGGCAGGUGAGCCCUGGGAGCCACGGAGAUUGGAGGGCCACGACCUUGGUCACCUUGGCCAACUCGAAGGGUCCUGACCCACCGCCAAUGGGCGGCCAGUAGGUGUAAACUCUGUAUCCAUCGCAGUGACACUGGGGCACGCCCUAACAGGGUCCCCCAGAUACUGACCAGCAGGGACCACCUGAGGCCGGCGUCCUCCUUCCCAGGGACAACCUUGGACAAGACAGAUGAGAGCUUUGUCCUCGAGCUGCCUGUGCCCCCAAGUCUAAAAGUGUUUCAUUUGGGAAGUGGAAGGAAGCUCCCUGCUCUGGAGGGUCCCGAGACCCCCCUGCUCGCGAUGCGGGAUGGAGGGUCUGGCCAUGAUGCGCGGUGGAGGCAGCAGGUGACCGAAUCCCGCAGCAACCUUUCAUCGUAGGUCAGCUACACCCUUGGCUUCUUGGCCGUGUUUGCCGGUGCCUGGGCCCCUCAGCCCCUGCUGGGCCCCGUGGUGACAGGCAACGGCCAGAGGCAACGCCCGCAGGACGCCCAAGGCCCCACCCUCUCCGUGAGUCCAUCGCCAAGCUUUACUUACAGAUGCGCGUGGGCGAGGCCAGGUCCUGUACCUGUGGGUCCCUGGAGAGCGACAGCGGGAGCCCAGGUGGGAAGGACGCCCUUGGGCUGAGGGCGCCCGGGAGGCUUUGUGAAGAAGACCUGAGAGGAGGGGCUUUGGGUGUGUAAGGAUGGUGGGCGGGGGCCCAGGAGGGAGUGGGCACACCUGCGGCCUCCAGGAGGAAGGCGCCUUCUGUGCCUCGCACAGCAAGAGCCUCCUCUACCGUUUACGGGGAGCAUCGCCCCUUCCCACUCAGAGUGUCGCCCACACCCUGCCUGGGAGCUGGUGACGCAGGCGAGACGGCGUGAGGAGCCGGGCUGGCGUCAGCUGGGCCCCUGGGGCCACCUCGCAGCCCCGUGAGUGAGCUGCUCGGGGUGAGAUGGGACCAUAGCCCCCCACGCCCCGGGGUUCCUGCCAGGAGUCGAUGAGCUGGGCCAGGCGGGGGCUCAGAUCCGCAGCUCAGGGCCUCGGUGCUCGGGACCCCACAGGGGCCGUGGUGAUGCCUGUUACUAUCAGGAGCCGACGCAGCUGCCACGAGGACGGGCCUGGCCUGGCGCUGGCCCCAGAGGGCCCCUACCCCCUCCGCUUGCUCCCUCUGGCCUUUCCCUCCUCCGUGUGUCACAGUAGGUGAAAUUGGGAACAGGCUGGGACAAUCCUGCCACGCCCUUAUCUGAAACUGUUGCUCAUUAAGACCAUUUACAGAUUUUUUUUUUUCUAUCACAUUUUCAAUCCAAGGAAGCCUGACAUUGUAAGAUGCUCAAGGAUGCUAGGAAGGCCUGGAUGUUUCCCUGCCAAUCAAUUGGUGAGUCUCCUAAGAUUCAAGGGUGACAGCUCACAGAGACACGGGGGUGGGGCGACGAGGCUGAUAUGUAACUUACCCUCCACGUAGCCUCUCAGAUACACUUGACUACGUCCAUCAUCAGCCUCCCUCUUAAUAAUAGAAUCACGGGUAGUGACUCACAAAUUGUUGUGUUUUCCCUGCGUUUCAACUGAAGCCCCACAGAAUGCUGCAGACCUACGGCCAUUCCCGUAGCCAACUGCUCUGAACAGGGCCCUACCUGUAUUGGUUCUUUUUUAUGGGUACUGUGUACACAGAUGUGUGUUGUGUUUUUUCAUACAUUUUUGAAUGUCUCUUCUAUCCAGAAGUGAGUCUGAGCGUGGUGACUUCGUAUUGGAACAGGUGAUAAUUAUGAGAGAAAUACUGCACUGUAGUUUAGAAGGUCAACUCGCAAGGUCGAGGGAGUGGAAGUCUUUACUAAGGAGGAAAAAAAUGUCAGUUAUGCCGCUGUGUGCAGAGCAAGGAAUCCUCUCCUCCACUGACAAAAAUGCCGAGGCUGUUCCUUCUUGCGUCCUGUGUGAACUUCGAUGGUUUGUUGACAAAUCUGAAAGAAUGUGCAGCCCUUGGGAAAUGCCCUUCUAAACGCUGUGUCCUCAGAGCCUUUUCGUGACAUUUCGCAGCUGUUCUUCUUCACAGUGACUAUUUGAAAGACAGUUUCAUGAACUCAAAGCUUUCUCGCCCCUGUGUCCCUGUCCUUGGCCCCGUCCCUGCUCCAAGAGUGAUCAAAACACACGAAUUCGUUCCUUCACAGGCAAGAAAGCUAUGUAGCUGUACCUCAUCACCAACCAUUCCAUAUUCCCCAAGCAUCCUUAAACUUGUUUUCAUUUUAUAACUGCAAAUACUCUCUCUCUCCUGCUUCAGUGUGAGCCCCUGCCCAGGGCCCCGGCCCCCCCGCCAGGCACUCGGUGGGCAUUCGGUUCGUUGGUCUAAGACACCAGGCAACUCUCACUCCAUCCAAAUGGAUCCCUGACUCUUGCCUCCAAGCAGAUGCAUUUCUUUUAGGACCAUGGUUUCUUAUGUCCAUCCAGACUGGUUAAACAUUACGAAAACAAUCUCUGGCAGUUCACCUUGGAUAACGUGACUGAACGUAAUUUGGGAUGAUAAAUAGGAUGGAAAGCGCAUUUUCAGGGCUGUGUAAUGGAGUCGUCUUGGAAUUGAUUAAAUUGAUGCAAUGUUCUGGCCAGUUCCAAGUCUUCCUGGUAAUACCUGUACUGCCUACUGCCAGUUCUGGGAGGAGACCUCAAGGAACAUUCAUGAAAGGGGAGAUUCUUUUCCAAUACCCGUCUUCUUUCGUGACUGUGCAUCUUCUCCCCUGAGGGAAGCACCACAGUCGUGGAUGGCCAAUGAGUUACAACAACAAAACCUUGAGAAGUGCACAGCCUGAAAACAGAGGAGCCAUGGUACAGCUUCCAUACUGCAUGAACCUCACACAGACGGAUGCCAGCCCAACCUACGCUGAUCAACUCGGCAAGCAACAAGCAAGCAUUAUCUACCAGGUUAAACCCUUUGGAACAUUGGUAGACAGGGUAUCUGUUCAAAGUGCGCGUAUAGGCUGCGGGUACAUGGAGGCACUAUUUCACUAACUCUUCAUUUAGUUAUGGCCAAGGAGCAGUAUUUUGUGUAUCUGUUUUUUGUUUGUUUGUUUGUUUGUUUUUGCGGUAAGCGGGCCUCUCGCUGUUGUGGCC